GACAGAGGUCCCGAGCGUUAGGCGGAAUCACUGGGCUUAAAGCGUGUGUAGGCGGAUUGGUAAGUACCUUGUGAAAUCCCACGGCUUAACCGUGGAACUGCUUGGUAUACUGCUUAUCUUGGGCCACUUAGGGGUUACCGGAACAAACGGUGGAGCGGUGAAAUGCGUAGAUAUCAGGAGGAACACCGGUGGUGUAGACGGCUCUCUGGACCGUAACUGACGCUGAGACACGAAAGCGUGGGUAGCAAACAGG
rnacentral:rRNA from 1 species